UACAGAGAGUGCGAACGUUGUUCGGAAUUACUGGGCUUAAAGCGCACGUAGGCGGCAUCGUAAGUGUCCGGUGAAAUCCCACGGCUCACCCGUGGAACUGCCUGGCAGACUGCGAUGCUCGAGUGUGGUAGGGGAGAGCGGAACUCCUGGUGGAGCGGUGAAAUGCGUAGAUAUCGGAAGGAACACCAGUGGCGAAAGCGGCUUCCUGGUCCAGCACCGACGUUCAGGCACGAAAGCGUGGGGAGCAAACAGG
rnacentral:rRNA from 1 species